UACGUAGGGUGCGAGCGUUAAUCGGAAUUACUGGGCGUAAAGCGUGCGCAGGCGGUUCGUUGUGUCGGCGGUGAAAGCCCCGGGCUCAACCUGGGAAUGGCAUUGGAAACUGGCGGACUCGAGUGUGGCAGAGGGGGGUGGAAUUCCGCGUGUAGCAGUGAAAUGCGUAGAGAUGCGGAGGAACACCGAUGGCGAAGGCAGCCCCCUGGGCUAACACUGACGCUCAGGCACGAAAGCGUGGGGAGCAAACAGG
rnacentral:rRNA from 1 species